rnacentral:rRNA from 1 species
AUGCAAGUCGAGCGGUAAGGCCCUUCGGGGUACACGAGCGGCGAACGGGUGAGUAACACGUGGGUGAUCUGCCUCGUACUUCGGGAUAAGCCUGGGAAACUGGGUCUAAUACCGGAUAGGACCUCUUGUCGCAUGGCUUGGGGUGGAAAGAUUUAUCGGUGCGAGAUGGGCCCGCGGCCUAUCAGCUUGUUGGUGGGGUAAUGGCCUACCAAGGCGACGACGGGUAGCCGGCCUGAGAGGGCGACCGGCCACACUGGGACUGAGACACGGCCCAGACUCCUACGGGAGGCAGCAGUGGGGAAUAUUGCACAAUGGGCGGAAGCCUGAUGCAGCGACGCCGCGUGAGGGAUGACGGCCUUCGGGUUGUAAACCUCUUUCGACAGGGACGAAGCGCAAGUGACGGUACCUGUAGAAGAAGCACCGGCCAACUACGUGCCAGCAGCCGCGGUAAUACGUAGGGUGCGAGCGUUGUCCGGAAUUACUGGGCGUAAAGAGCUUGUAGGCGGUUUGUCGCGUCGUCUGUGAAAACUCACAGCUCAACUGUGAGCUUGCAGGCGAUACGGGCAGACUUGAGUACUGCAGGGGAGACUGGAAUUCCUGGUGUAGCGGUGAAAUGCGCAGAUAUCAGGAGGAACACCGGUGGCGAAGGCGGGUCUCUGGGCAGUAACUGACGCUGAGAAGCGAAAGCGUGGGUAGCGAACAGGAUUAGAUACCCUGGUAGUCCACGCCGUAAACGGUGGGCGCUAGGUGUGGGUUUCCUUCCACGGGAUCCGUGCCGUAGCUAACGCAUUAAGCGCCCCGCCUGGGGAGUACGGCCGCAAGGCUAAAACUCAAAGGAAUUGACGGGGGCCCGCACAAGCGGCGGAGCAUGUGGAUUAAUUCGAUGCAACGCGAAGAACCUUACCUGGGUUUGACAUACACCGGAAACCUGCAGAGAUGUAGGCCCCCUUGUGGUCGGUGUACAGGUGGUGCAUGGCUGUCGUCAGCUCGUGUCGUGAGAUGUUGGGUUAAGUCCCGCAACGAGCGCAACCCUUGUCCUGUGUUGCCAGCACGUAAUGGUGGGGACUCGCAGGAGACUGCCGGGGUCAACUCGGAGGAAGGUGGGGACGACGUCAAGUCAUCAUGCCCCUUAUGUCCAGGGCUUCACACAUGCUACAAUGGGCGGUACAGAGGGCUGCGAGACCGUGAGGUGGAGCGAAUCCCUUAAAGCCGUUCUCAGUUCGGAUCGGGGUCUGCAACUCGACCCCGUGAAGUUGGAGUCGCUAGUAAUCGCAGAUCAGCAAACGCUGCGGUGAAUACGUUCCCGGGCCUUGUACACACCGCCCGUCACGUCAUGAAAGUCGGUAACACCCGAAGCCGGUGGCCCAACCC